UACGAAGGGGGCUAGCGUUGCUCGGAAUGACUGGGCGUAAAGGGCGCGUAGGCGGCUGUGACAGUCAGAUGUGAAAUUCCUGGGCUCAACCUGGGGGCUGCAUUGAUACGUCAUGGCUGGAGUGGGGAAGAGGGUCGUGGAAUUCCCAGUGUAGAGGUGAAAUUCGUAGAUAUUGGGAAGAACACCGGUGGCGAAGGCGGCGACCUGGUCCUUGACUGACGCUGAGGCGCGAAGCGUGGGGAGCAAACAGG
rnacentral:rRNA from 1 species